rnacentral:sRNA from 12 species
UGCGGGUCUGCGCUGGGAGCCACUGUAGGUCGUCCUCACGGGCGGCAGCCGCGCAAUGCGGUGGGAUCCUACAGUCCGGGACCCGCGAUGAG